GUAAAAUUGUAACUGAGGCUGCGAAAAGGAAGCACAUAAAUCGACGCCAUUUUUCAACAGAUUAAGGUUUCUGAGCUCACGAAAUCCUACUAUUAUUACUUUUAAUGGUUAGUAGAAAGAUAUCAACAUUAUCCAUAACAUAAUUCAUUGAUCAGAUCGGGUUAUGGCUAUAUGUUUGCCUCUUUUAGGAUGCUGAAAUCCAUUAAAUUCCCCAGACCACACGAAAUAAACGCCCCUUUCUCAGCCCG
rnacentral:lncRNA from 1 species